UACGGAGGGAGCUAGCGUUGUUCGGAAUUACUGGGCGUAAAGCGCACGUAGGCGGCUUUGUAAGUUAGAGGUGAAAGCCCGGGGCUCAACUCCGGAACUGCCUUUAAGACUGCAUCGCUUGAAUCCAGGAGAGGUGAGUGGAAUUCCGAGUGUAGAGGUGAAAUUCGUAGAUAUUCGGAAGAACACCAGUGGCGAAGGCGGCUCACUGGACUGGGUAUUGACGCUGAGGUGCGAAAGCGUGGGGAGCAAACAGG
rnacentral:rRNA from 1 species